rnacentral:rRNA from 1 species
AUGAACGCUGGCGGCGUGCCUAAUACAUGCAAGUCGAGCGAACAGACGAGGAGCUUGCUCCUCUGACGUUAGCGGCGGACGGGUGAGUAACACGUGGAUAACCUACCUAUAAGACUGGGAUAACUUCGGGAAACCGGAGCUAAUACCGGAUAAUAUAUUGAACCGCAUGGUUCAAUAGUGAAAGACGGUUUUGCUGUCACUUAUAGAUGGAUCCGCGCCGCAUUAGCUAGUUGGUAAGGUAACGGCUUACCAAGGCAACGAUGCGUAGCCGACCUGAGAGGGUGAUCGGCCACACUGGAACUGAGACACGGUCCAGACUCCUACGGGAGGCAGCAGUAGGGAAUCUUCCGCAAUGGGCGAAAGCUUGACGGAGCAACGCCGCGUGAGUGAUGAAGGUCUUCGGAUCGUAAAACUCUGUUAUUAGGGAAGAACAAAUGUGUAAGUAACUUUGCACGUCUUGACGGUACCUAAUCAGAAAGCCACGGCUAACUACGUG